UACGAAGGGGGCUAGCGUUGGUCGGAAUGACUGGGCGUAAAGGGCGCGUAGGCGGCUCAUAGAGUCAGAUGUGAAAUUCCUGGGCUUAACCUGGGGGCUGCAUUUGAUACGUGUGGGCUUGAGUGGGGAAGAGGGUCGUGGAAUUCCCAGUGUAGAGGUGAAAUUCGUAGAUAUUGGGAAGAACACCGGUGGCGAAGGCGGCGACCUGGUCCUUGACUGACGCUGAGGCGCGAAAGCGUGGGGAGCAAACAGG
rnacentral:rRNA from 1 species